rnacentral:Y_RNA from 1 species
GCGGCAAAUGCCGAAAGAAAUUACAUAUGUCCCCGGUUCGAAUCCGGGCGAUGGCGAAAGCGAUCGUAGCUCAGUGGGUAGAGUAAUGGGAGUUACGUUUCUUUCAAUUUUGUUGCCGUGUG